GGAUGCGAUCAUACCAGCACUAAAGCACCGGAUCCCAUCAGAACUCUGAAGUUAAGUGUGCUUGGGUGAGAGUAGUACUAGGAUGGGUGACCUCCUGGGAAGUCCUCGUGUUGCAUUCC
rnacentral:rRNA from 2 species